AGGAUGUUGUGGACGUCCAUGACAGUUUAGCUGCUGAAGCUGAACAUGGUGAUGCUUCCAGAAAGGAAAGGUCCCCAGUUCAAGGUGUAGAACAGCACACAACACAAGUGAUAGAAGAGUCUACAGCAACGUCUGAAACUGGAACUGAUGUUGGUGGCAAGGUGUCUGUUAAAGAAGUCAUAGAUACAGUAUGUUUCCAUGCCCCAACUCUAUUUAUAAGAGAUGUAUUAUGAGAUUAUUUAAUUACGAAAUUUCAGCUUGUUGAAAUUAAGAUGAAUUUGGGAGAGAAGUUGAAGACUUUGUUGAAAACUAAUAAUGUUAAUAUGGGAGAUAAUAUUAUGAUGGAAGAGGCUAUUUUAUAGAA